CGGCGUCAACCGUCCACCUCGCCGCUUAGCGCCGGGCGGGUCGUUGCCGCCGCCUCAGGGCGCAGAGGCCCGGCCUUUCCGCCCAAAUGUCAGUUUGUAAAAUAGCAAGGCUGGAGUCUGAAGGGUUUGCAGGCUUCCGCCUUGAAGGAAGUCUGGGAGGCUCGGCAUUUCCAACUCUUUCACCUUAGAGCCCGCUUGGCCAAGGCAAAACCGCCCAGUAACCUGGCUUCCAGCGGCCUCAGCAGGGAGGAAUACAAUUUUUUUCACCUGUAAUUUGGAAGUCAAGUAAAAUAACAAAAUGAAGUCUGCAAAACAUCUGUCAGCCUCUAGUAAUAAAUUGGCAAAUGUUCCAGAUUUAACUUACAAAAAAGGAAUAUUUACUGCACCGUUGUCACUUAAACCAAAGGAAAAACAUAGUGCAAAAUUAGUACAUGAUAAACUUGAACCAAUGGUCUUAGGAUCUCCACCAGCAGGGGAAUCCAUCGUAAGAUAUGCUUUGCCCAUUGCAUCGAGUAAGACAAAGGAGUUAAUAGCAGAAGAUGAAUUGAUCAGAAAAAUUACCCAACAUCUAAAGAUGGUUGUUUCUACUUUGGAGGAAGCCUAUGGAUUUAGCAUUGUAAAUGGAGAAAAAUCAGUUGUGAAGCCUGAACAUGAAGAAUUAACUUUAUCUGUUGGGGAUGAUCUGAAUUCAUUCUUGAUAUGUUGUUCACAAUUUGCAGCUCAGUUAGAAGAAGCAGCUAAGGAAGAACGUCAUAUUUUGGAAUCUCUUUUUAAGUGGUUUCAGCUACAGGUCAAUCAGAUGGAGGAGAUAAGUAAAGAUCAAAAUUUUUUAGAAACAGAGUUUCCAGCACCUGACAAAACAGUCACUUUAAGCCUUGCACAAGUAGUAAAGCAGGUGCAAAAACUAGAAGAACUGAAAAAUCGUCUUAAACAAGAGUCUUUAUACUCCUUGAAAGCCUUGUUGUCUAAACCCAAGCAUAGUGAAAAUUUACCAGGAGCAUUACAAAGUUAUGAAACCAUACAGCAGAUAAUUGAAGAAUUCAUAAAAACCCACCCAACUAAAGAAUUUAUAGAUGUUUCUGCAACUGAUCCACAAACUGCUUGUUCACUGACUAACCGAUUGAAUGUCAUGUUGAAAAUGUUUGAAAAACAGUCACAUAUGUUGGAGAGAGCUAUGAAUGAUCAAGGUUUGUUAGAGGAUAAAUACAAAGAAAUGCAAAGUAAUUUCCAAGUGUUACUAGAGGAGAAAUUGGUGCUGGAAAAUGAACUACAAAAGUUGAAGACUACAGAGAAAGCAAAGUCUACAUAUGAUCGAACAAAGAAAACUAUAAAAAUGGAGAAGAAAAAAGACAAAAGAAAAUCUGAGGAUACAGAAGAGAAGAAGUUUCUAGUAAAAGAGCUUAAAGUAAAAGAAGAUUUGCUUCAAGUUCAGAAAGUAGCAUUUGCUCUGGAAGUUGAGAACAAAGUCCUUCAGGAACAAUUGAAACAGGCUUUACAGGAAGCUGAAAGUGCUAAGCAUCAACUUGACUGUUUCCUAAAUCAAGAGAAAGAAUUACUUAAUAGUGAAGAGAAGACCAAGACAACAAUGGAAAUGGGUAUUAGCAAAAUAAAAGUUGAAGAUUCAAAACAUAUACCAUUGGAAAAAGAGACAAGGGAAGCAUUAGUUACAGCUUCAGGUAGACAAAAGACAAAUGCAAAAAUCCAAGAACAUUCACAGAUCUCAAUUUUCACAAAUGGAAGCCCAGCUGACAAAAGAUCCUAAUAGAAUUUCUGAAAUUCUUUGGAAAAGUCUCCCAAACCUUCAGAGAGUGGAUGGGAGUGAAGCAAGGAGAUCCCACCUGAACAGAUAUAUGGGCUACUUAAAUGAACAAAUCAAAAGACACCUGGUGGAGGGUCUGAAACAUCACUACCAGUUAUGAUGAAUUACCAAAUGAAGAGCUUGUGCUUGAGCAUCAAGAUUUAGUGUCAAAAACCCAAAUGCAAGUAGAGAAACAAAAAACUCCUGGAAGAAAAGAUUCACUACUCAGGUUGAAGUACCAGAUGGAAAUCUUGUGCUUGAUGAAAACCAAGAUUCAAUAUCAAAAACACAAAUGCAAGUAAAGAAAUAGAGAA